GACGAACGCUGGCGGCGUGCUUAACACAUGCAAGUCGAGCGGAAAGGCCCUUCGGGGUACUCGAGCGGCGAACGGGUGAGUAACACGUGAGUAACCUGCCCCAGACUUUGGGAUAACCCUCGGAAACGGGGGCUAAUACCGGAUACGACACAGCUUCGCAUGGGGUCUGUGUGGAACGUUUUUCGGGUUGGGAUGGGCUCGCGGCCUAUCAGCUUGUUUGUGGGGUGAUGGCCUACCAAGGCGACGACGGGUAGCCGGCCUGAGAGGGCGACCGGCCACACUGGGACUGCGACACGGCGCAGACUGCUACGGGAGGCAGCAGUGGGGAAUAUUGCACAAUGAGCGGAAGCCUGAUGCAGCGACGCCGCGUGGGGAAAGACGGCCUUCGGGUUGUAAACCUCUUUCAGCAGGGACGAAGCGUGAGUGACGGUACCUGCAGAAGAAGCGCCGGCCAACUACGUG
rnacentral:rRNA from 1 species